rnacentral:lncRNA from 1 species
GGCAGAGAGAGGAAAACACGCGAGUGCACACACGGUGAUAUCUUGCGGGUGAUGAAUAUGAUAAUUGGACAAGGGACGAGAGAACCAUUCUCUGCUUUCAAUAGGACAGAAGAGCUCCUUGGCACUGGAUGCCUCCGGGUCUGGUUGAGAGAGGAAUGGUUAGGAGACUGUUCUGAGGAUACGCAGACAUCAUCCAAAGCUUCCUACAUUCAGAUGAGGACAGAGGUUGGGCCAGAGCUUUGUAAGCUUGUUACCUAAGGAUGGUUCUGACCAUGUAAGCAGAUCACAGAAGAGCCAGCCUUGACAAUGUGCUGAUGGCAACCU